AACGAACGCUGGCGGCAUGCCUAACACAUGCAAGUCGAACGGGAUCCGAGCUUCGGUUCGGUGAGAGUGGCGGACGGGUGAGUAACGCGUGGGAACCUGCCCAGUGGUGGGGGGAUAACUGCGGGAAACUGCAGCUAAUACCGCAUGAGCCCGAGAGGGGAAAGAUUUAUCGCCAUUGGAGGGCCCGCGUUCGAUUAGGUAGUUGGUGAGGUUACGGCUCACCAAGCCUUCGAUCGAUAGCUGGUCUGAGAGGAUGAUCAGCCACACUGGGACUGAGAUACGGCCCAGACUCCUACGGGAGGCAGCAGUGGGGAAUAUUGGACAAUGGGGGGCAACCCUGAUCCAGCAAUGCCGCGUGAGUGAUGAAGGCCUUCGGUUGUAAAGCUCUUUUGUCUAGGGACGAUGAUGACGGUACCUGGAGAAUAAGCCCGGCUAACUCGUGCCAGCAG
rnacentral:rRNA from 1 species